AACGGGUUGUCCGAUUCUUCUGAAAAUUUAAGGGCAGAUAGAUCUUGACCUGAUAAACAAUUUUAUCCCAGUCAGAUUUGCUCUAAAUGCUUUGGUUUUUGAGUUAUAAGCCAAAACUGCAUUUUACCCUAUGUUCUAUUUUUAGCCAUGGCGGCCAUCUUGGUUGGAUGGCCGGGUCACUGGACACAUUUUUAAACUCAAUACCCCAAAAAUGAUUGUGGCCAAGUUUGGAUUAAUUUAACCCAGUAGUUUCAGAGGAGAAAUUUUUGUAAAAGAUUAUUAGAUUUACGAAAAAUGGUUAAAAAUUGACUAUAAAGGGCAAUAACUCCUAAAGGGGUCAACUGACCAUUUCGGUUAUGUUGACUUAUUUGUAAAUCUUACUUUGCUGAACAUUAUUGCUGUUUACAGUUUAUCUCUAUCUAUAAUAAUAUUCAAGAUAAUAACCCAAAACAGUAAAAUUUCCAUAAAAUUACCAAUUCAGGAGCAGCAACCCAACAACGGGUUGUCUGAUAUAUCUGAAAAUUUAAGGGCAAAUAGAUGUUGACCUGAUGAACAAUUUUACCAAUGUUAGAUUUGCUCUAAAUGCUUUGGUUUUUGAGUUAUAAGCCAAAAACUGCAUUUUACCCCUAUGUUCUAUUUUUAGCCAUGGCGGCCAUCUUGGUUGGAUGGCCAGGUCACCGGACAUACUUUUUAAACUAAAUACCCCAAAAAUGAUUGUGGCCAAGUUUGGAUUAAUUUAACCCAGUAGUUUCAGAGGAGAAGAUUUUUUGUAAAAGAUUAUUAAGAUUUACGAAAAAUGGUUAAAAAUUGACUAUAAAGGG
rnacentral:lncRNA from 1 species